rnacentral:rRNA from 1 species
GACGAACCGUGCGAACGUUGUUCGGAAUCACUGGGCAUAAAGGGCGCGUAGGCGGGCCGUAAAGUCCGGGGUGAAAUCCUCCAGCUUAACUGGAGAACUGCCUUUGAUACUGACGGUCUCGAGUGAGGUAGGGGUGUGCGGAACUGAUGGUGGAGCGGUGAAAUGUGUUGAUAUCAUCAGGAACUCCGGUGGCGAAAGCGGCACACUGGCCCGAUACUGACGCUGAGGCGCGAAAGCGUGGGGAGCAAACAGG